rnacentral:rRNA from 1 species
GACAGAGGGUGCAAACGUUGUUCGGAAUUACUGGGCGUAAAGCGCGUGUAGGACGGUUGGGCAAGUCGGAUGUGAAAGCCCAGGGCUCAACCCUGGAAGUGCAUUCGAUACUGCCUAGCUAGAGUCCCGGAGAGGAUGGUGGAACUCUCGGUGUAGAGGUGAAAUUCGUAGAUAUUAGGAAGAACACCAGUGGCGAAAGGCGGCUCACUGGCCCGGGUACUG